AAAAUCUUUCUGCACUUGGGCGUUGUCCUCUUCCUUCGCGUGGUUUCUUCUUCAGUGUCCAUCCUCCAAAACCCCACCAUCCUUUCACGCUCCACACCAAGUAUAUAGCCGUUACCGCCUGGUGAACAUCUCGACAAUCAGCGAUCGAUGGAGGCUCCUCCGAAAUGAUUUCCAGUUGUUGACCAAGCUAAGAGAUGGAUCGGUAUUUGAUGAUAAUUAUUAACAUCAUGCGUAUGUCUCCUUAUAUCGAAGGCAUCAGAUCGACUGAUGAAGGGAUUGGAAUCGAAGGAGAAGGAAUUCACCAUAUAGAUGGAGACUUCUUGUUCUUCUCAAUCGUGUAGCCGUGUAGGGAGGUUAACAAAUAAUACAGUUCCAAACAAGGAGCUUUGCUGUGAGGAAAACAAUGACUGUGGUGGCAGCUUCUAGCAGUGGCUCGGCGGUGUUGGAGUAGGACGAAGACAUCAAUUUUAGUACUGGAUUAGGAGGAAACAAUAAAGGUUGAAAAAAUCAGAUAUCCACUAAAAAGGCAAACGAAAAAACUCACAUUUGCCUAAGUUUGGGUCUCACGGUUUGAGACGUCCUCUAUACUCACUAACAAUCUCCUUCUAACAUAUCUGGUCCAUUUCUCAUUUGAUUUCUAUUUUUUUCUUCCUAAAACCUUCAAUUCAGCUACGUCUCUAAUUCUGUUUCAAGGGAUUUUGCUGUUGA